rnacentral:rRNA from 1 species
UAAGUGAAUAGUGAAAUCCGGGGCUCAACCUCACGGGCUAUUAUUCAAACUCACAGACUCGAGAAUGGUAGAGGUAACUGGAAUUUCUUGUGUAGGAGUGAAAUCCGUAGAUAUAAGAAGGAACACCAAUGGCGUAGGCAGGUUACUGGACCAUUUCUGACACUGAGGCACGAAAGCGUGGGGAGCGAACCGGAUUAGAUACCCGGGUAGUCCACGCCGUAAACGAUGGAUGCUA